rnacentral:rRNA from 1 species
AUUGAACGCUGGCGGCAUGCCUUACACAUGCAAGUCGAACGGUAACGGGCCUUCGGGUGCCGACGAGUGGCGAACGGGUGAGUAAUACAUCGGAACGUGCCCGAUCGUGGGGGAUAACGAGGCGAAAGCUUUGCUAAUACCGCAUACGAUCUACGGAUGAAAGCAGGGGACCGCAAGGCCUUGCGCGGACGGAGCGGUCGAUGGCAGAUUAGGUAGUUGGUGGGAUAAAAGCUUACCAAGCCGACGAUCUGUAGCUGGUCUGAGAGGAUGAUCAGCCACACUGGGACUGAGACACGGCCCAGACUCCUACGGGAGGCAGCAGUGGGGAAUUUUGGGCAAUGGGCGCAAGCCUGAUCCAGCCAUGCCGCGUGCAGGAUGAAGGCCUUCGGGUUGUAAACUGCUUUUGUACGGAACGAAAAGCCUUCUUUUAAUACAGGAGGGUCAUGACGGUACCGUAAGAAUAAGCACCGGCUAACUACGUG